rnacentral:sRNA from 1 species
UCAAGCGGUGCAGUAUUCUAGUCAGCGAUGCCGUUUUCCAGGAAGGGCCUAAAAAUCCUUUGAAGGGCACAUCGGUGAAGUCCCUGGUGUCUGCUUUUUACGCCCAGUUUAGGGUGGAUGCUGGGGGUUAAGGAUUCCGGGCGCGCUCCAAUGGCAUGGGGCAUACGACCCGUUUUCCGUGGAGACUUGGUCUUGUGCGACGACGCUUUGAACCCCAAGCCGGGGCCCGAUCGCGUACGAACCAGGAUAUGAACCUGCAAGGCAGUGCACAGAAUCGUGUGCUGCGUGCAGCGUAGCCUGCCUUGAGUGAAUAUGUUGGGAAAGAAGAACAGGAGGCUAUCCGUUAUGGCCAUAACGGAUGCCGAAAUCGCUUCUGGAAACCUUAUUUGCAAAAGAGGCUAAGACUACGGCGUUCGCUGCGGUGGAAAACACCUAGACUGUCCUAAAAAGGGCAGGCGGGGGAUUGCAGUACGGACUCAGUGGCAAUCGGGUAGAUAGGCUUGGCAACACCUAUCCGGAGAGAUCAAAUGGAAACGGCCAUGCCGGCAACGGAUGGUUCCUUCCGGGGAAAGCCAACCCGACCUAAGCCGUAAGAUUUAUCCCGCCUGCUGCCGCUUUCUUUUACU